UGAAUACGAGACGCUAAGGCGUCGAAGUAGUGUAUGUCAUACUUCCAAGAAAAGCUUGCACUGUCAUAAAUGAAAAAUGCCUGUACCAUAACCGACACAGGUGGGUAGGUAGAGUAUACUAAGGGGCGCGAGAUAACUCUCUCUAAGGAACUCGGCAAAAUAACUCCGUAACUUCGGGAGAAGGAGUGCCUUAUUCUUAAGGUUGCAAUAACAAGAUCCAAGCAACUGUUUAUCAAAAACACAGGUCUCCGCUAAGUCGCAAGACGAUGUAUGGGGGCUGACGCCUGCCCAGUGCCAGAAGGUUAAAGAAGUUGGUUAGCUUUUGCGAAGCUGAUAACUGAAGCCCUGGUGAACGGCGGCCGUAACGAUAACGGUCCUAAGGUAGCGAAAUUCCUUGUCGGGUAAGUUCCGACCCGCACGAAAGGCGUAAUGAUUUGGAUACUGUCUCGGAGAGGGGCUCGGUGAAAUAGACUUGUCUGUGAAGAUGCGGACUACCUGCACCAGGACAGAAAGACCCUAUGAAGCUUUACUGUAACUUGAAAUUGAAAUUGGACUUUAUUCGCGCAGUAUAGGUGGGAGGCGUUGAUUGUAAUCUUGCGGGAUUAUUGGAGCCAUCAGUGAGAUACCACUCUUGUAAUGUUAGAUUUCUAACUUUGUAUCAUUAUCUGGUCAAAGAACAGUUUCAGGCGGGCAGUUUGACUGGGGCGGUCGCCUCCUAAACGGUAACGGAGGCGUACAAAGGUUUCCUCUGAACGGUUAGAAAUCGUAUCUAGAGUGUAAAGGCAUAAGGAAGCUUGACUGUGAGACCUACAAGUCGAGCAGGGACGAAAGUCGGUCUUAGUGAUCUGACGGUACUGAGUGGAAAGGCCGUCACUCAACGGAUAAAAGUUACUCUAGGAUAACAGGCUGAUCUCCCCCAAGAGUUCACAUCGACGGGGAGGUUUGGCACCUCGAUGUCGGCUCAUCGCAUCCUGGGGCGGUAGUACGUCCCAAGGGUUGGGCUGUUCGCCCAUGAAAGCGGUACGCGAGCUGGGUUCAGAACGUCGUGAGACAGUUCGGUCCAUAUCCGGUGUAGGCGUUAGAAUAUUGAGAGGAGCCUUCUUUAGUACGAGAGGACCGAGAAGGACAUACCUCUGGUGUACCAGUUAUCGUGCCAACGGUAAACGCUGGGUAGCUAUGUAUGGAGUGGAUAACCGCUGAAAGCAUCUAAGUGGGAAGCCCACCUCAAGAUAAGUAUUCUCA
rnacentral:rRNA from 1 species